GACGAACGCUGGCGGCGUGCCUAAUACAUGCAAGUCGAACGCUUCUUUCCUCCCGAGUGCUUGCACUCAAUUGGAAAGAGGAGUGGCGGACGGGUGAGUAACACGUGGGUAACCUACCCAUCAGAGGGGGAUAACACUUGGAAACAGGUGCUAAUACCGCAUAACAGUUUAUGCCGCAUGGCAUAAGAGUGAAAGGCGCUUUCGGGUGUCGCUGAUGGAUGGACCCGCGGUGCAUUAGCUAGUUGGUGAGGUAACGGCUCACCAAGGCCACGAUGCAUAGCCGACCUGAGAGGGUGGUCGGCCACACUGGGACUGAGACACGGCCCAGACUACUACGGGAGGCAGCAGUAGGGAAUCUUCGGCAAUGGACGAAAGUAUGACCGAGCAACGCCGCGUGAGUGAAGAAGGUUUUCGGAUCGUAAAACUCUGUUGUGAGAGAAGAACAAGGACGUUAGUAACUGAACGUCCCCUGACGGUAUCUAACCAGAAAGCCACGGCUAACUACGUG
rnacentral:rRNA from 1 species